UGCGAGUCGAAUGUAGCAAUACAUGGCGUACUGCUCAGUAACACGUGGACAACCUACCCUCCGGACGGGGAUAAACCCGGGAAACUGGGUAUAAUACCCGAUAGAUCUCGACUGCUGGAAUGCAUCGAGAUCGAAAGCUCCGGCGCCGGAGGAUGGGUCUGCGGCCUAUCAGGUAGUAGUGGGUGUAGCGUACCUACUAGCCUACGACGGGUACGGGUUGUGAGAGCAAGAGCCCGGAGAUGGAUUCUGAGACACGAAUCCAGGCCCUACGGGGUGCAGCAGGCGCGAAAACUUUACAAUGCCGGCAACGGCGAUAAGGGGACCUCGAGUGCCAGGUUACAAAUCUGGCUGUCGUGAUGCCUAAAAAGCAUUGCAUAGCAAGGGCCGGGCAAGACCGGUGCCAGCCGCCGCGGUAACACCGGCGGCUCGAGUGGUAACCGUUAUUAUUGGGUCUAAAGGGUCUGUAGCCGGCCAGAUAAGUCUCUUGGGAAAUCCAGCAGCUCAACUGUUGGGCUUUCAGGAGAUACUGUCUGGCUCGAGGCCGGGAGAGGUGAGAGGUACUUCAGGGGUAGGGGUGAAAUCUUGUAAUCCUUGAAGGACCACCAGUGGCGAAGGCGUCUCACCAGAACGGACCUGACGGCAAGGGACGAAAGCUAGGGGCACGAACCGGAUUAGAUACCCGGGUAGUCCUAGCCGUAAACGAUACUCGCUAGGUGUCGGCCACGGUGCGACCGUUGUCGGUGCCGUAGGGAAGCCGUGAAGCGAGCCACCUGGGAAGUACGGCCGCAAGGCUGAAACUUAAAGGAAUUGGCGGGG
rnacentral:rRNA from 1 species